AAUAAGAUGCCUGAAAAAAGGAUUAUUUUGAUAGAAUAAAUUAUACAUUUAUUGUUCUUAUUA
rnacentral:tRNA from 1 species